AUUGAACGAUGGCGGACGGCCUAACACAUGCAAGUCGAACGAGUGGCGGACGGGUGAGUAAUGUCUGGGAAACUGCACGAUGGAGGGGGAUAACUACUGGAAACGGUAGCUAAUAACGCAUCACAUCGGAUGUGCCCAGAUGGGCUUAGCUAGUAGGUGGGGUAACGCCUCACCUAGGCGACGAUCCCUAGAUGGUCUGAGAGGAUGACCAGCCACACUGGAACGGAGACACGGUCCAGCCUCCUACGGGAGCGAGCAGUGGGGAAUAUUGCACAAUGGGCGCAAGCCUGAUGCAGCCAUGCCGCGUGUAUGAAGAAGGCCUGCGGGUUGUAAAGUACUUUCAGCGAGGAGGCGUUACUCGCAGAAGAAGCACCGGCUAACUCCGUGCCAGCAGCCGCGGUAAUAC
rnacentral:rRNA from 1 species